rnacentral:rRNA from 1 species
UGGGGAAUAUUGCACAAUGGGCGAAAGCCUGAUGCAGCAACGCCGCGUGAGCGAUGAAGGCCUUCGGGUCGUAAAGCUCUGUCCUCAAGGAAGAUAAUGACGGUACUUGAGGAGGAAGCCCCGGCUAACUACGUGCCAGCAGCCGCGGUAAUACGUAGGGGGCUAGCGUUAUCCGGAAUUACUGGGCGUAAAGGGUGCGUAGGUGGUUUCUUAAGUCAGAAGUGAAAGGCUACGGCUCAACCGUAGUAAGCUUUUGAAACUGAGAAACUUGAGUGCAGGAGAGGAGAGUAGAAUUCCUAGUGUAGCGGUGAAAUGCGUAGAUAUUAGGAGGAAUACCAGUAGCGAAGGCGGCUCUCUGGACUGUAACUGACACUGAGGCACGAAAGCGUGGGGAGCAAACA